UACAGAGGUCUCAAGCGUUGUUCGGAUUCAUUGGGCGUAAAGGGUGCGUAGGCGGCGCGGUAAGUCGGGUGUGAAAUCUUGGAGCUUAACUCCGAAACUGCAUUCGAUACUGCCGUGCUUGAGGACUGGAGAGGAGACUGGAAUUUACGGUGUAGCUGGUGAAAUGCGUAGAUAUCGUAAGGAAGACCAGGUGGCGAAGGCGGGUCUCUGGACAG
rnacentral:rRNA from 1 species